rnacentral:rRNA from 1 species
AAUAUUGGACAAUGGGCGAAAGCCUGAUCCAGCCAUGCCGCGUGUGUGAAGAAGGUCUUCGGAUUGUAAAGCACUUUAAGUUGGGAGGAAGGGGUUGAAGCUAAUACCUUCAAUCUUUGACGUUACCAACAGAAUAAGCACCGGCUAACUCUGUGCCAGCAGCCGCGGUAAUACAGUGGGUGCAAGCGUUGAUCGGAAUUACUGGGCGUAAAGCGCGCGUAGGUGGUUCAGUAAGAUGGAAGUGAAAUCCCCGGGCUUAACCUGGGAACUGCAUUUUUAACUGCCGAGCUAGAGUAUGUCAGAGGGGGGUAGAAUUCCACGUGUAGCAGUGAAAUGCGUAGAUAUAGGAAGGAACACCAGUGGCGAAGGCGACCACCUGGGCUAAUACUGACACUGAGGUGCGAAAGCGUGGGGAGCAAACAGG